rnacentral:rRNA from 1 species
CCUACGGGUGGCAGCAGUGGGGAAUAUUGCGCAAUGGGCGAAAGCCUGACGCAGCGACGCCGCGUGAGGGAUGACGGUCUUCGGAUCGUAAACCUCUGUCAGCAGGGAAGAACGGUCACUGUGCUAAUCAGCUGUGAAUUUACGGUACCUGCAAAGGAAGCACCGGCUAACUCCGUGCCAGCCGCCGCGGUAAUACGGAGGGUGCGAGCGUUAAUCGGAAUUACUGGGCGUAAAGCGCUCGUAGGCGGUAUGUCAAGUCAAGGGUGAAAUCCCCGGGCUAAACGUGAGAACUGCCUUUGAUACUGGCAAACUUGAGUGUGGGAGAGGAUAGUGGAAGUCCAGGUGUAGGAGUGAAAUCCGUAGAUAUCUGGAGGAACAUCAGUGGCGAAGGCGACUAUCUGGCACAUAACUGACGCUGAGGAGCGAAAGCGUGGGUAGCAAACAGGAUUAGAUACCCGGGUAGUC